CUGCUGCCUUCCGUAGGAGUUUGGGCCGUGUCUCAGUCCCAAUGUGGCCGUCCACCCUCUCAGGCCGGCUACUGAUCGUCGCCUUGGUGGGCCGUUACCCCGCCAACAAGCUAAUCAGACGCGGG
rnacentral:rRNA from 1 species